rnacentral:rRNA from 1 species
UACAGAGGAGCCAAGCGUUGUCCGGAUUGACUGGGCGUAAAGCGCACGCAGGCGGACGCGCGCGUGGGGUGUGAAAUCUGGCCGCUUAACGGCCAGGCGCCAUCCCAUACGGCGCGCCUGGAGCCUUGCAGAGGUCGGUGGAAUUGCCGGUGUAGUGGUGAAAUGCGUAGAGAUGUGGAGGAACACCAGUGGCGAAGGCGACUCUUUGGUCUGUAACUGACGCUGAGGCGCGAAAGCGUGGGGAGCAAACAGG